GAUGAACGCUAGCGGCAGGCCUAAUACAUGCAAGCCGGACGGCAAGUUGAGUAGCAAUACUUGACCUAGAGUGGCGUAAGGGUGCGUAACACGUAUGCAAUCUGCCCACAGCCGGGAGAUAGCCCUCCGAAAGGAGGAUUAAUAUCCCAUAGGAAGAUGAGAUGGCAUCAUUUUAUUUUUAAACUACGGGGCUGUGGAUGAGCAUGCGGUUGAUUAGCUAGUUGGCGGGGUAAAGGCCCACCAAGGCGAUGAUCAAUAGGGGACCUGAGAGGGUGAUCCCCCACACUGGCACUGAGAUACGGGCCAGACUCCUACGGAGGCAGCAGUAGGGAAUAUUGGACAAUGGGUGUAAGCCUGAUCCAGCCAUGCCGCGUGCAGGAAGAAGGCCCUUUCUGGGGUUGUAAAACUGCUUUUGCCGGAAGAACCCCUGAACGUGUUCGGGGCUGACGGUACUGUAUGAAUAAGGAUCGGCUAACUUCGUGCCAGCAGCCG
rnacentral:rRNA from 1 species